rnacentral:rRNA from 1 species
AUACCCGAGUAGUCCUAGCUGUAAAUGAUGCAAACUAGGCGUUGCACUUGCCUUGAGCGGGUGCAGUGCCGUAGGGAAACCGUUUAGUUUGCCGCUUGGGGAGUACGGUCGCAAGGCUUAAACUUAAAGGAAUUGGCGGGGGAACACCACAAGCCGUGGAUGCUGCGGUUCAAUUGGAUUCAACGCCGGGAAACUCACCAAGAGAGACGGCAGAAUGAGGCUCAAGCUAACGACUUUAGCCGACAAGCCGAGAAGUGUUGCAUGGCCAGCGUCAGUUCGUGCCGUGAGGUGUCAGGUUAAGUCCUGAAACGAACGAGAUCCCCGUUCACAGUUGCUAACUUCGGAGCGAUCCGGGGUGCACUCUGUGAAGACUGCCCGUGUUAAGCGGGAGGAAGGAGGGGGCGACGCUAGGUCUGUAUGGCCCGAAUCUCUUGGGCCACACGUGGCAUACAAUGGCCCAGACAAUGGGCUCCGACGCCGAAAGGCGAAGGCAAUCUCCGAAACUGGGUCUAAGUUCAGAUUGCGGGCUGAAACUCGUCCGCAUGAAGCUGGAAUGGCUAGUAAUCGCGCGUCAUCAUCGCGCGGUGAAUAUGUCCCUGUUCCUUGCACACACCGCCCGUCAAGCCAUCCAAGCUUGGUUUUAGUGAGGCUUCCGUGAUGAGCGAAAGUCGAGCUAGAGCUAGGUGAGGAGGGUUAAGUCGUAAAAUGAGAGUUGU